rnacentral:snoRNA from 1 species
CAGCAGGUACUGUUACAAUAUAACUGAAGUGUUAAUAUUGUCGUUCCUCCUGCUUAAAGCAAUUGAUUGAUAACUAUGGUUAUUAAUAACUCGGUCUAACUUCAUUCCUUAGCAAGACAGGGACGCUUGGUCUCAAACAU